rnacentral:rRNA from 1 species
AUGAAACACUCCUACGGGAGGCAGCAGUGAGGAAUAUUGGACAAUGGUCGGAAGACUGAUCCAGCCAUGCUGCGUGCAGGAUGACGGCCUUAUGGGUUGUAAACUGCUUUUGUAAGGGAAGAAUAAGGGCUACGUGUAGUUUGAUGACGGUACCUUAUGAAUAAGCAUCGGCUAACUCCGUGCCAGCAGCCGCGGUAAUACGGAGGAUGCGAGCGUUAUCCGGAAUCAUUGGGUUUAAAGGGUCUGUAGGCGGGCUGGUAAGUCAGAGGUGAAAGCGCUUAGCUCAACUAAGCAACUGCCUUUGAAACUGUUGGUCUUGAAUGGUUGUGAAGUAGUUGGAAUGUGUAGUGUAGCGGUGAAAUGCUUAGAUAUUACACAGAACACCGAUAGCGAAGGCAUAUUACUAACAAUUGAUUGACGCUGAUGGACGAAGGCGUGGGGAGCGAACAGGAUUAGAAACCCCAGUAGUCCGAAGUUC